CAGCAGCCGCGGUAAUACGUAGGUGGCGAGCGUUGUCCGGAUUUAUUGGGCGUAAAGGGAGUGUAGGCGGUCUUUUAAGUCUGAUGUGAAAGCCCACGGCUCAACCGUGGAGGGUCAUUGGAAACUGGGAGACUUGAGUGCAGAAGAGGAGAGCGGAAUUCCAUGUGUAGCGGUGAAAUGCGUAGAUAUUCGGAAGAACACCGGUGGCGAAAGCGGCUCUCUGGCUUGUAACUGACGCUGAGGCUCGAAAGCGUGGGGAGCAAACAGGAUUAGAGACCCCAGUAGUCCCUGUCUCUUAUAC
rnacentral:rRNA from 1 species